UUUACAAGAGCCUCCUCCGAGGUCUGAAUGACAUGUUUUCUCUGGCUCUGGACUGGGGCCCUGUAUUAACAGCAGAGACAUUAGCAAAAUACUGACCGCAGUUUUUUAUUUUCCUUUCCGUGGAAUGUGGCUUCGUCCUCAGGACUGACGGUGAUGAGGGGCAGUUGCAAGUCUUAAAAGCGGAAGAGACGUGAUCAGGUCAGCCUUUGAGACGAUCGUCGUGGUGCUCCCUCUGGAGAAGGGACCGAAGACAGCAGAGACGGUUAGGAGGCCACUCAACAGACUAGCCAAGUACUGACCACCAGGACCAAGCCAGGGGGCGCCUGGAACACAAGUGAUGUACUUCAAAAAAUGUUCUGCUGUAAGUCUGUCCUAAUAUUCUCAAGUGCCUAGACGGUGCCUGGCACCUACCAACGGCUUAGAAACAUCUGGUUCAAUGAAUACAUGGAAAUGUAAAAGGAAGAUCGUUAAUGCUGAAUGUUUAGCGCGUGAGGCAAUGCAGGCUGCAGUAACACAGCAUGACCACAAGAUGGCAAUAUAAAUAGAAAAGCUCUGCAUUUCAGGAAUAUUCUGGAUGAUCUGCCCCAUCCCUCUCCUGGGACUCCAGGGAAAAGACACGAUUGCAAUACUGUGAAGGCAGAAAGCAAACUGCCAGGAAUUUGCCCACCUACCUCCUAUUUCACUUGUGGAUCAAUGCCUUGAAAACACAGCUCCUGACCGACAGAAGGAAAUAUUUCUGCUGAGCUGGGAGACCUACAGAAAGACCCAUGACACCUCACUUGGGGACAGUUUUAUUUGUGUGGCCCUUUUCCCUGUCCCUGCCUUAAAUCUACAUCUCUGGGCCUGGGUAGAGAGGAAACAUGAUACGGAGGAAAGUGCAGAGUCGAAGGCUGACCCCAAUGCCUACCACUGUACGUCUGCGCAAGUUUCUCAACCUUUCUGAACUCCAUCGUGUCAUGUGAAAAAAAAAAAAAGAGGAAAACAAAUAUAGAGCGAUUACAGAUGAACUGUUGCAACCACAGGGGUUUAAGCAGAAUAGCAUUCUCUACAGACCAGUUCCCAGAGGAUCCUGGAAUCAAAACGAAGAAUCUUCUUUGCAGUUCUGGAAGGAUUUGGGCACUGAGCCCACAGCUACUUGGCCCAGAGCAUUCUAUCCCUAACAGAUCAACAAAUUCUCUGAAUAAGGCUUACUUGGACGUGGCCCCCAGCAGUAACUUUCCCUUUUCAAAAAACACACUCUGUUGAGGACAAAAAAAAAAAAAAAAAAAAAAAAAAAAAAAAAAAAAGCUCCUCACCAGACUCUAAAAAGGGGUAUGAAUGUCAUUGUCUCUCUGGCUUCCUGUGGUCUCCAUAAAAUCUCCAAGCAGAGUAUUUUGGGCUCAUAAAAAUGUCCACAGCCCGUUUCUCAUCUGCUUUAAUGGCGUUUCCUAAUGGUUGACACUGACAUUGGCAUCUUUUCUCUGGGGAAAGUGUUGUGAGCCUGGCUUUCCCCUUCCCCAAAAUAGCUGGUGCAAACAGCCCAGGAGCUGGAAUGCAGGGCGACGGUUUUUCUCUUCCCACGAAGAGACAUAACCUCCAAGAUAUGGGAACUCUGCCUUAUUUCCUGUGGCAACAGGCUGAGAGGUCCCGUUGCCACCAGGAAACAGUCACACCCCCACUCAAGGAUUCCAGCCCUCCUGUGUCCUUCCAGGGGCUUUGGAGGGGAUAAAGUAAUCGAUCAUGGGGAAAAAAAGUGACAUUAGUAUCGAUGAUCUAUGAAAGAAGUUUUUGAGCUACACUUUGUAAAUAAGGAAAUUUUGUUUAGAAAAGAAGCACAUCCUUUUGUUUAAAAUAUGUGAUCACUUCGCUUGACCAGGUCACGCCAAGGAAGCUAAGAGGAAAACCAGCCGUGGGUACAUAGGACUGCGAGGAGAAUGUGAUGGGUCUGCGGGCCGCGGGGCACAGCAAAGAGUGCCCUGAGGAUUCAGGGGAGGGAGAUGUGAAUGGGGCUGGGAACCUCCUGGAAGCUGGCCGGUUGGAGCAGGGCCAUCCUUUGCCGUCAUCCACUGCCCACCUGCGCGGUGGGGAUCUCCUGGACACACAGCUCCGCUUCCUCGCACACCAGCCAACGUCAGUGGGGCUUCCGGGAGGUGGCCGUUGCCCAGGUAGGGUCAGGCUCCUUCCUGGGUCUGGGGCUAUGAGGAUGAGUAAGGCCCAAGAUUACCCCCCUAGGGGCUCUCACAUUAGAGUGAGAGUGAAAAUGCAUGAACAGCCAGCUGUAAAAGAAGAAAAAUGAUGCGCUUACACCGGGAGAGAAGUGAAAACGCGGUGCUCCAGAGGCAGGGCAGAGGGAGGUUUCAUUCCACGAGUCUCCUCUGGCCAACAGAUCUUUCUCUUCUGAGCGACUGUUUGCUAAAGCACCCACUGCUGCUCCCUUCUGGUGUCAUAUUUGGUUUUUACAUGACAGAAGUGUUUCUGCUGGAGACUGACUUGUGUUGGUACUUAAGUGGUUGCAGAAGUCGCCGCUCUAGAACGUGAUAAAGACCCACGUUGAAAUCCUGGCUCCUCCCCUUAGACCUACAGUUUCCUAACCCCCCAAAAUAAGGAAGACAGUACGUCGCUGAGUGUGUGUGCUGUUGGUGGUGGUGCAGGGGGACUGAUGAGGGUGAUCUGCCUGGUCGCCAUCACGGCGGUUAAUGCAGAGCGGAACCCCCAUGCGCACGCGCGGUGUGACUCUCUCGCGCCCUUCCCGCGCCCGUGGCUCAGUCUGGAAAGACAGCCAUGCACGUGUGUGGUUAUCUAAAUAAUGCUGCUGAUAAUAAAGCCAA